UGGGGAAUCUUGCGCAAUGGGCGAAAGCCUGACGCAGCGACGCCGCGUGAGGGAAGAAGGCCUUCGGGUUGUAAACCUCUUUCAGGAGGGACGAAGCUACUCGGGUUAAUAGCCCAGAGGGUGACGGUACCUCCAGAAGAAGCCCCGGCUAACUACGUGCCAGCAGCCGCGGUAAUACGUAGGGGGCAAGCGUUGUCCGGAAUCAUUGGGCGUAAAGAGCGUGUAGGCGGCCAGAUAAGUCCGCUGUGAAAUCUCGAGGCUCAACUUCGAGCUGUCGGUGGAAACUGUCUGGCUAGAGUCCGGAAGAGGAGAAUGGAAUUCCUGGUGUAGCGGUGAAAUGCGCAGAUAUCAGGAAGACACCCGUGGCGAAGGCGGUUCUCUGGGACGGUACUGACGCUGAGACGCGAAAGCGUGGGGAGCGAACAGGAUUAGAUACCCUGGUAGUCCACGCCGUAAACGAUGGGAACUAGGUGUGGGGGGUGUCGACUCCUCCGUGCCGAAGCUAACG
rnacentral:rRNA from 1 species